rnacentral:rRNA from 1 species
UACGUAGGUGGCGAGCGUUGUCCGGAUUUACUGGGCGUAAAGAGCGCGCAGGCGGUCGUACAAGUCGCGUGUGAAAGCCCCCGGCUCAACUGGGGAGGGUCACGCGAUACUGUUCGACUCGAAGGCAGGAGAGGGAAGCGGAAUUCCCGGUGUAGUGGUGAAAUGCGUAGAGAUCGGCAGGAACACCCAGGGGGAAACCAGUGGACUGGGCAGGAGCUGACGCUCAGGUGCGAAAGCGUGGGGAGCGAACCGG